ensembl:piRNA 21ur-5965 ncRNA
UGUUAUGAUUUAGUAGUAACA